CUCCUAUCGAUCCUCCAUUUUGGUUCAAGUGAUUUGAAUGAUUCAACAUCAGGUGGAUGAUUGUGAAGCUGAUUUCUAAUUAGGGUUUCUAGAUCUCAUCACAAAUCCCGCCCCCGUCUGCUUUCUCUCUCUUUUUCCGAUUCACGAAGAUGAAGGCGAUGGCUAUUCAAGCCGAUUGGAUCAUGUGGUACCGACGCUGAUAUGCAUUGUUAUCAUUCAAUCGUAUUUCGUUCAAUGACAUCAGAAGCACCAAUCAAUCGAAUUUCAUUCAAUCGGGACUUUUGGCCGAAGGGCUCUUUGCAAGUCCUACAAUGAUUCUUGGUUGCUAGAGUGGAUUGCGAUAGAUUGAUGUUCUGUAAGCUUAAUAGAGAAGUUGAAAGACAAUUAUAUCAGUUUAAGGCUUGCUCUUGGCGUUACAAACCAACCCGUUGAGACGUUUUGUGACGGAGAUGCAGCUGCAAAUGCAAACUCGAGGUCAACUGUAAAACAUUUGUAGAGCAUCUCCAAAGAGCAUAAGUGAAAGCAUAACUGUAGUCAUACGAGGGGAAAAGUCACACCUAUGAGUUUGUUCAGUUUGUUAGUGAGUUGGUUCUGGUGACUGCCCUCGAAGCCACCAUAUCAUAGUCCAUGGUGUCAUAGAGAUCUUUCCCCUGGAGAACAAUCCCUUCGCCUCCAGGAAGAAAAAAUCUUGAAUAAUAUUUGCCCAAGUUUUUUCUUCAGGCGUGGUGUUCUACAGCUGAUUACGUAAAAUAACUAGAAUCCAUUUCUCUUCAGGAGUUAGCUUUUACUUUUAGUGUGUGUAUGGUUACGAGUGAUAAUAUCAACACAGAUCGAGCCAUUACAAAGGAAUGUGGCAUUCUCACUUCCACUUUGGUAGAACAUAUUAUAUUAGCACCAAGAAUUCAGUUACACACACAUUCAUUCAAGUAAUGGAGACUGGAUUAUCGUGCGAUUAACAUGUUAAAUGGGUCAAAUGGGUCGAUAUCAGCCAAGAGUCAUCAUUUUACAGUUUCCAUAAUAUGUUUUUUUUGUUAAAAUAAGCAACACAAUCAUAUGACACUGUUAGUGGGUCAACAUGACUUAACCAAACAGUUUACAACUCUACUUGAUAGAAGCCCAUUUCAUAUUGAAUCUAUUUUGACGAAUAAAGUGUUGCCUGGGCCCGCUC
rnacentral:lncRNA from 1 species